rnacentral:rRNA from 1 species
UAAAUUUUAACUAUUGACCUCGUAUCAGGUAAGAGUACCCGCUGAACUUAAGCAUAUCAAUAAGCGGAGGAAAAGAAACCAACAGGGAUUGCCUUAGUAGUGGCGAAUGAACCGGCAAAAGUCCAAAUUUGAAAUCUGCCAGCAAUGGCCGAGUUGUAAUUUGAAGAUGGUAAUUCUGUAGAGAGUCUUUGCUCAAGUUUCCUGGAAUGGAACGCCGUGGAGGGUGACAGCCCCGUGAGGCAUUGACUUAAUACGUGUAGAGUACUAUCAAAGAGUCGAGUUGUUUGGGAAUGCAGCUCUAAUCUCGUGGUAAGUGGCACGAAAGACUAAAUAUUGGUGAGAGACCGAUAGCGAACAAGUACUGUGAAGGAAAGAUGAAAAGCACUUUGAAAAGAGAGUGAAAUAGUACGUGAAAUUGUUAAUAUGGAAGGAUAUGAAACUAGACACAGAGUCUUGAGUUCUGCAGUUCUUCGGAAUUGUUUUGUCUCUUGAUUCUACACCAGCAUCAGUUUUGGCAGGAGGAUAAACAGUGUGAAAUGUAGCUACUUUGUAGUGUUAUAGUCUCUCUGCAUACUCUUAGCCGGGACUGAGGUCAGCCUUUGUAGGAUGCUGGGGUAAUGGUUUUAUAUCACCCGUCUUGAAACACGGACCAAGGAGUCUAUUGCCU